AGAGUUUGAUCAUGGCUCAGGUUGAACGCUGGCGGCAGGCCUAACACAUGCAAGUCGAACGGUAACAGGAAACAGCUUGCUGUUUCGCUGACGAGUGGCGGACGGGUGAGUAAUGUCUGGGAAACUGCCUGAUGGAGGGGGAUAACUACUGGAAACGGUAGCUAAUACCGCAUAACGUCGCAAGACCAAAGAGGGGGACCCUCGGGCCUCUUGCCAUCGGAUGUGCCCAGAUGGGAUUAGCUUGUUGGUGGGGUAACGGCUCACCAAGGCGACGAUCCCUAGCUGGUCUGAGAGGAUGACCAGCCACACUGGAACUGAGACACGGUCCAGACUCCUACGGGAGGCAGCAGUGGGGAAUAUUGCACAAUGGGCGCAAGCCUGAUGCAGCCAUGCCGCGUGUAUGAAGAAGGCCUUCGGGUUGUAAAGUACUUUCAGCGGGGAGGAAGGGAGUAAAGUUAAUACCUUUGCUCAUUGACGUUACCCGCAGAAGAAGCACCGGCUAACUCCGUGCCAGCAGCCGCGGUAAUACGGAGGGUGCAAGCGUUAAUCGGAAUUACUGGGCGUAAAGCGCACGCAGGCGGUUUGUUAAGUCAGAUGUGAAAUCCCCGGGCUCAACCUGGGAACUGCAUCUGAUACUGGCAAGCUUGAGUCUCGUAGAGGGGGGUAGAAUUCCAGGUGUAGCGGUGAAAUGCGUAGAGAUCUGGAGGAAUACCGGUGGCGAAGGCGGCCCCCUGGACGAAGACUGACGCUCAGGUGCGAAAGCGUGGGGAGCAAACAGGAUUAGAUACCCUGGUAGUCCACGCCGUAAACGAUGUCGACUUGGAGGUUGUGCCCUUGAGGCGUGGCUUCCGGAGCUAACGCGUUAAGUCGACCGCCUGGGGAGUACGGCCGCAAGGUUAAAACUCAAAUGAAUUGACGGGGGCCCGCACAAGCGGUGGAGCAUGUGGUUUAAUUCGAUGCAACGCGAAGAACCUUACCUGGUCUUGACAUCCA
rnacentral:rRNA from 1 species